rnacentral:rRNA from 1 species
GCGCACCAGGCGAGAAACUUCACACUGUGCGAAAGCACGAUGAGGGAAUCCCAAGUGCUUGCACGUAAGUGUAAGCUGUUUCUCUGUUUAAAACGCAGAGAGAGUAAGGGCUGGGUAAGACGGGUGCCAGCCGCCGCGGUAAUACCUGCAGCUCAAGUGGUGACCGUUAUUAUUGGGCCUAAAACGUCCGUAGCCGGUUUAAUAAAUGCCUGGGUAAAUCGUGUAGCUUAACUAUACGAAUUCCGGGUAGACUGUUAAACUCGAGACCGGGAGAAGUUAGAGGUACUCCUGGGGUAGAGGUGAAAUUCUGUAAUCCUAGGGGGACCACCAGUGGCGAAGGCGUCUAACUAGAACGGGUCUGACGGUGAGGGACGAAGCCCUGGGGCGCAAACGGGGAUUAGAUACCCGUGUAGU